rnacentral:lncRNA from 1 species
CUUCCUUAUCCCCUCCUCCCUCGGGGUGUAGGAGAAGUCGAAACAUUCUAGAGCUCCGCUCCACUCCCAGUAAUGGCGGCGACAUGGACUUGUUUUGUAACUUCGUUGUGUAUUUCUUCACCUUCUUAUAAACCAUCGUCCUCAUCGUUGCACGGUCUGUCUUUCCGGAGGCAAGCAGUGACCAGAACGAACAGAUUUUUUACCAGUUAAGAUCUUAAUUGAGAGUGUGUUUUUUUUUUAUCUUCUGAUUAGAGUCUCUCUGACGGACGGUGAUGAUUUUGCAGGGAUAUAUGCGCUGUCUAGCAACGACAUCAAAGUCGGGACAAGCAUAGAAGUCGAUGGUGCUCCGUGGCGUGUUCUGGGUAUUCCUUCUUUCUUUCUUUCUUCUUCGAAAUUGUAUGUAUGUAUGGUCUCGUUUGUGUGAUUUUAAGGAAUUGGUUUUAUGGACAGAGUUUCUGCAUGUGAAGCCAGGCAAAGGUGCUGCUUUUGUCAGAACCAAAAUCAGGAACUACGUCAAUGGUAGCACAGUCGAGAGAACCUUUCGUGCUGGGAUUACUGUAAGUGAAGAUAACCUCCUCCUCCUCUUCCCUUAUCUUCGCUCUUAUCUUCCUCAUUUGAUUUAUUUCAGAUAGAAGAGGCCAAUGUCUCCAAGGAGACUAAGCAAUUCACUUAUAAAGACGGCUCUCAGUUUGUUUUCAUGGACUUGGUAUAAUAUAUAUAAUUUGAUUAGCUGCUGUUUUUGUCCCUCUAAAUUCUAAAUGGAUGUAUGGCUUUUUGAACCCCCUUCUUUUCUUUCUUUCUUUCUUUGUUUGUUGUUGUGCAGAGCAGUUAUGAGGAAACACGUUUAAACGAGGCUGAUAUGGGCGACAAGACCAAAUGGCUUAAAGAGGGAAUGGACUGCAAUUUGCUCUACUGGAAGGACAAGGUAAUAUCUACUUUUCUCACCACUGACUGAGGAGGAGGACCUUGUUCAUCAUCUCUUUCUCUCUCUUCCAGGUCAUCGAUUUUGAACUUCCCAUUACAGUUCAGCUUAAAAUAGUUGACGUUGAUCCUGGUCUCCGAGGUGACACACUCCCAGUAAUGGCGGCGACAUGGACUUGUUUUGUAACUUCGUUGUGUAUUUCUUCACCUUCUUAUAAACCAUCGUCGUUGCACGGUCUGUCUUUCCGGAGGCAAGCAGUGACCAGAACGAACAGAUUUUUUACCAGUUAAGAUCUUAAUUGAGAGUGUGUUUUUUUUUUAUCUUCUGAUUAGAGUCUCUCUGA